UACGUAGGUGGCGAGCGUUGUCCGGAUUUACUGGGCGUAAAGGGAGCGUAGGCGGACUUUUAAGUGAGAUGUGAAAUACCCGGGCUCAACUUGGGUGCUGCAUUUCAAACUGGGAAACUUGAGUGCAGGAGAGGAGAGUGGAAUUCCUAGUGUAGCGGUGAAAUGCGUAGAUAUUAGGAGGAACACCAGUUGCGAAGGCGGCUCUCUGGACUGUAACUGACACUGAGGCACGAAAGCGUGGGGAGCAAACAGGAUUAGAUACCCCUGUA
rnacentral:rRNA from 1 species